rnacentral:rRNA from 1 species
UUCGGGAACCGUGAGACAGGUGCUGCAUGGCUGUCGUCAGCUCGUGUUGUGAAAUGUUGGGUUAAGUCCCGCAACGAGCGCAACCCUUAUCCUUUGUUGCCAGCGGUCCGGCCGGGAACUCAAAGGAGACUGCCAGUGAUAAACUGGAGGAAGGUGGGGAUGACGUCAAGUCAUCAUGGCCCUUACGACCAGGGCUACACACGUGCUACAAUGGCGCAUACAAAGAGAAGCGACCUCGCGAGAGCAAGCGGACCUCAUAAAGUGCGUCGUAGUCCGGAUUGGAGUCUGCAACUCGACUCCAUGAAGUCGGAAUCGCUAGUAAUCGUGGAUCAGAAUGCCACGGUGAAUACGUUCCCGGGCCUUGUACACACCGCCCGUCACACCAUGGGAGUGGGUUGCAAAAGAAGUAGGUAGCUUAACCUUCGGGAGGGCGCUUACCACUUUGUGAUUCAUGACUGGGGUGAAGUCGUAACAAGGUAACCGUAGGGGAACC